GAAGUGGAAAUAGAUGUGGUCUAUGUUUAGUUACGGUCUAAAAAGGUGUGAGCUUUU
rnacentral:tRNA from 1 species